GGGGAUGUAGCUCAGUUGGCUAGAGCGCUUGCAUGGCAUGCAAGAGGUCGUGGGUUCGAGUCCCAUCUUCUCCACCU
rnacentral:tRNA from 1 species